rnacentral:rRNA from 1 species
AUUGAACGCUGGCGGCAGGCUUAACACAUGCAAGUCGAGCGGAGAGAGGUAGCUUGCUACUGAUCUUAGCGGCGGACGGGUGAGUAAUGCUUAGGAAUCUGCCUAUUAGUGGGGGACAACAUUUCGAAAGGAAUGCUAAUACCGCAUACGUCCUACGGGAGAAAGCAGGGGAUCUUCGGACCUUGCGCUAAUAGAUGAGCCUAAGUCGGAUUAGCUAGUUGGUGGGGUAAAGGCCUACCAAGGCGACGAUCUGUAGCGGGUCUGAGAGGAUGAUCCGCCACACUGGGACUGAGACACGGCCCAGACUCCUACGGGAGGCAGCAGUGGGGAAUAUUGGACAAUGGGCGCAAGCCUGAUCCAGCCAUGCCGCGUGUGUGAAGAAGGCCUUAUGGCUGUAAAGCACUUUAAGCGAGGAGGAGGCUACUUUAGAUAAUACCUAGAGAUAGUGGACGUUACUCGCAGAAUAAGCACCGGCUAACUCUGUGCCAGCCGCCGCAGUAACAC